rnacentral:rRNA from 1 species
ACGGAAGGCAGCAGUGGGGAAUAUUGCACAAUGGGGGAAGCCCUGAUGCAGCGCCGCCGCGUGAGUGAAGAAGUAUUUCGGUAUGUAAAGCUCUAUCAGCAGGGAAGAAAAUGACGGUACCUGACUAAGAAGCCCCGGCUAACUACGUGCCAGCAGCCGCGGUAAUACGUAGGGGGCAAGCGUUAUCCGGAUUUACUGGGUGUAAAGGGUGCGUAGGCGGCACGACAAGUCAGAAGUGAAAUCCAGGGCUCAACCCUGGAACUGCUUUUGAAACUGUCGAGCUAGAGUACAGGAGAGGUAAGCGGAAUUCCUAGUGUAGCGGGGAAAUGCGUAGAUAUUAGGAGGAACACCAGUGGCGAAGGCGGCUUACUGGACUGACACUGACGCUGAGGCACGAAAGCGUGGGGAGCAAACAGGAUUAGAUACCCUGGUA